UACGGAGGGGGCUAGCGUUGUUCGGAAUUACUGGGCGUAAAGCGCACGUAGGCGGCUUUGUAAGUUAGAGGUGAAAGCCCGGGGCUCAACUCCGGAAUUGCCUUUAAGACUGCAUCGCUCGAGUUGUGGAGAGGUAAGUAGAAUUCCGAGUGUAGAGGUGAAAUUCGUAGAUAUUCGGAAGAACACCAGUGGCGAAGGCGACUUACUGGACACAUACUGACGCUGAGGUGCGAAAGCGUGGGGAGCGAACAGG
rnacentral:rRNA from 1 species